GCCAUUAUUGGAAUCUAGAAUAGAAUAGAAUAGAAUCACUUUAUUGAUCCCAGACUGGGAAAUUGUUUUUUGACAAAUAGUAACAUAGUAACUGUAACUGUCGUUGGUAACUUGUAUGAGGAAAAAAAUACCGCAGUUGUAGACGGAGCAGCGUCUGUCCUCCUGCCAUUCCUACCGACUCUUCGUCAGCAUCUGUCACCGGCAAAAAACUUUAACUCACUCAAGUGGUUGUAUUGAUAGAAAUCACUGUGAUGGUCAGCCCUCCCGACCGAGACUUCAGUGAACUUCAGUGAACAGCCUCCGUCCCCACAAAUGAUAGAGUCAUGCAGCGACCUGUUUACUGAUGGUGAUGAUGUAAUAGUAAUUUAGCGCGAAAAACGUAACUUUGGGGGCUGGAUUCUCAAUCACUACACAUUAUAAACAGUCCGCGGGUUUAGAUUUACAAUGGGGACACCUGGGAAACACACCAACGUCAUCAUCAUGACGUGUACCGUCACGUCUCUUUAGGAGCUGCAGCGCAGCUUUCUGUGUAAAUUACACGGCGGUUCGUCUUUACUCCUGUGGUACUCUGCUCUGUGUGAAUGACCAGUGGUGGAGAACAGAUGAACCACCGCACUGGGUCAACUACUGUUUGUAACAUCAUGUAUCCUAAUUGCUAAAGCACUCUAGCAGAUGAAAGGAGGAAAGCUAGAAGGACUGCUUUAAUGAAAGACAUCAUGAAAUACUCAUUUGACCCCUAAGCAGCUGUCCUUUGGGCGUUGUGGAAACGAUGUCCGGAAAAGACAUUGUUCAAACUUUAAUUUGUUGAAGCCUGUCAUUUGGAUGUCAAUAGUGAACAUUGACAAGAAACCAGAACAAACCCCAAAUUACAUCAGAUCCAUGUUCGGGCCGUCUCUGGUUUUGGAAUCAACAUCACCAUGAAUAAAAGUCGGAUCUAGUGGUAAUUAUUGCUAACAUUAACACAGGAAAAACUGGAGAGUGUUAACAAUAUUUUCCUCAAAAAAAAGUCCCUUUAAUCACUUAUGAUUCUAAUUAUUACCUGAAGUUGCUUGAGCAGGGGGAAACGAUGCACAUAGAAUUACACUGCCCGGCCCAAAAAAAAUACACUUGACAUAUUUGGCUGGACUGCUUUUAGCUUUGAUUACAGCACACAUUUGCUGUGGCAUCAUUUUGAGAAGCUUGCGCAACGUCAUGACAUUUAUUUCCUUCAAGAGUUGCAUUCAUUUUUCACCAAGAUCUUUUAUUAAUGACGGGAGAGUCGGGCCGCUGCAUAAAGCCUUCUCCAGCACAUCCCAAAGAUUCUCAGUGGGGUCAUCAAACAUUUAAGUAAUCUCCAAUAACAGUCAUUCAAGAUUUCUUCCUUGAAGAUGAUGGUUCACUGCCGUCCUUCCAGGUUUAAAAAAUGCAAUUAUCAAAAUUCCAAUUUUAGUAGUUCCAGCAUUCCCUGUAGUUGUUUUCUUUGCUUGAUGCAGGCUUAUAAUUUGACCCUUUUGUAACAGAGUAACAUCUUUUCCACAACCCCAGACAUGGUUGUUUAAGAAAUGAGAAGCUGCUGGCUGCAUCAGUUAGGGUUAAAUAACUUGCUGCCAGCUGAAACACAUUAAUCACUGCAGUAAUUAUCCGACGGAAACCUCUUACUUAUUUGCUUAGUUAAAUUCAAGUGAUGACUUCUUUUUUGGCCAAACAGUGUAUAAUAGAGAAAUACAGCAUAACAACCCCUACUAAUAUUUCUCAAGUUUCCUUUCAGCUGGUAAGGGGAGAGUUUUUACCUGCACUUCAGUCAAAUGUGAGUAUUUGUUUUGUUGAUGCAGACUACGAAUGAAGUACAGAGAUCCCCGUAAGUACAUUUGUUUUGAAGGGAAACCAACCCUCAGAUCUUAUCUGGAUUGUGUUGUGUUGUGUUGUGUCUGGAUUGUGUUGUGUAAAAAAUGUUAUAAUUUUCCAUGCAAUAACCCAUGGAGCAACUUACUCAGGAUGUCAGUCUCUUGUUGGGAUGUCUAACUUUACUGUUGGGAUUCUGUUGUUAUGCUGAACAUUAGCUGUGCUCAUUGUGUUGUGCCUUUCCGUAAUGGUUUUAAAGAAGUAGUGAUACUUUUGUAGGCUGCCACAAUAGCAGCGUUAGUGGACACAUGAGGGGUAUUGCGAUAAAAAGUGGUGUUAAUAGUUAAGUACGAGGCAGUAGUAGACAGGCUGCAUAUGGCUGGAAUUCACCUGGAACCUCAGUUUUGGUUUAUGCUGUUCAAAUAAAAACGGCCUUUUGAUCGCUGUCUUGUUCUUUUUUUUUUCUUAUUUUUUUUUUUACAUAUACACCGCAGAUUCAUGAAUACACUUGUGCAACCUUAUUUUGUUUUCACAAUUGCCAAGAAAUUAGACAUUCAAACUUUGAACUCAAAAGUCUAUGAUGGAUCAAAGACUGAGGUUAAUUGAGGAGGUGUUUGCAUUCAUUCUAAAGAGCCAAGACCUUGGUAUGCUGGAGAUUUGUUUCAAGGCCCAAAGGCAGAUGAGUUAAUUGCAUCAUAUGAGUUAAUGAUACAUGAUUGAUAGCCUGGCUGAGCUCCCCUGCCAUCAGCUCCUUUGCAAGCUCCAGUGGAGACAGACUCUGAUGACACCAUAGAAGUCCUGCUACAAGAGCGCAGAGGAUAUUUGCCGAGGUCAAGAUGACAUGUCAUCCAUUUUGGUCCUUGUCCACCUUCUGCCACCAUCCCCUCUGGCUGCAUGACCCCAGGAAAGCUCUCAGCCAGACUAGUGAGUGACUAUCUUGUAAAGUUCAGCAAGACUGGGAACAACAUCCAGGGCCAUUGAGAUAGCAUUACGGAAAGCCUUCAAUCCUAUUUGAUGGCUGUGGGGACUCAGAAGAGUGUUAUCCAAGUGGUUCAUUGUGAUCGACAAACAUGCAAUACCUUAUGAUGUGGUUCUUCUGGAUUCUUCAUUCCGGGCCCUCCAGCAUCCACUGGACUUUAAAGAGGUUGGGAUGAGGGUCAGCACCUUCAGUUCUGAGGCCAUGGUUCUCUUACGGAUAAUGGGAGAUUGGUGGGGAGGAGUAGGGCCGCUGCUCCUUCACAUCGAAAGGAGCCAGCUGAGGUGUUUCAGAUGGAAUACCUCCCGGUUGCCUCCUUUGGGGGGUUUUCUGGGCGCAUCCAACUGGAAGGAGACCCCCAGGGCAGAAUCAGAACUUGCUGGAGAGAUUACAUAUCUCAUCUGGCCAGGGAACGCCUCAGGAUCCCCCAGGAGGACAAGGAUCCAGGCCAGCCAUGACUUUCCUUUCACUUGGGAUUUCUAUACAAGGAGCAUUCUCAGUGAUGAUCCAUUUGAAAAGAGGAGAUAGUGCUGUUCAAUUUGUGCCGAAUACAAGCAGCGCAACCCCAUCCAACCCCCCUCUCCUCUCCUCCCUCUGCGCUUCGUGCUUCCAUCAUCUGUCCGUUUAGCCGUGAUGCGAUAAGACAGAUCAAUCUCUUAGGCAGGUUCCCAGGAGGAACAUAAAGCCUUACAGCUGAGACACUACUGUCCCUUAGCAGCAGAGAGAGAGAGAGCGAGGCAGGGGCAGCGAGAGGACGACGAGGAAGGAGAGGAGGAGAUGGCCUGGCUCUACCCUGGGUUUUGCAUUUCCCAAUCCCAGCAGUACCUUAAAGGAGGAGAUGGUGCUUGUUACAGGUUGGCUGCAGCUGGGAGAUGUCACCACGGCCCGCUUAGAGGCAUGGCAGGCCUGGCUUGGCCUUACUCCAGAGCAGGUCUAGCGCGGCUCGACUCAACUCAGCUCAGGGGUCUUGGAGAGAGGAUGUUUUAGUGAGUUGGAUGGGGAUGAUGUCAGGAGAAAGGAAAAAGAUGAAGCCUCUUCAAGCCUGAAAUUUCAUGACAUUGUUUAUUUUGCUAUUUUGUUUGAAUGGUUUGCGGCGUGCACUCAAGGCAGAGAUGAUUGCGUAAUGUUAGCUUGACAGAAAAGAAGCAAAUGCGGUUUGCACAGAGCGCUUUAAAUGUUUAUAGUGAAAGCUACCAUUCAAAAGGUUGUCACCUUCUUCGAUUUCAUUAAAGUUCAUGGAAAUAAUUAUGGCUGUUAUGUUCUCCUGUUUCAAUAACAUGAGAUCACACUAAUAUCGUGUGACUGUGAAUGUAUGUUCUCUGCAAACGAAAAGUGUCAAAGCUAAAGAAAACUCUCUGCUCUCUGUAACACUCGUGAUAAUCACCCAUGACGGAUGCAAAACAUAUCUGUGUUUCAAAUGUUGGUAUAGUCUAUAAUUAUAAAGGGUCAUAAACUACCUGUUCCUUACAGUGAAGGAUUAAAAA